AACUGUCAAAGUACUCUGUGUCCUCCUUCACCUUGAGCAGACAGACAUUAAGUUGUGUGACGUGGUUAAGUUUUCUUUCCAAAACCUCUCGCCGUAGCUUCCGGUCCGCAAAUCCGACCAUGCUCAACUGGAUCCGACCCGUUAAAAAUGUGCUAAACUGGUCUGCUCUAUUCACCAUAUCCUUGUUGAUUGGGAUCUGGAUGAAGGUAGUAAGUACAGGUUUAGCUAGCUUUGUUUCAGGGGAUGCGUCGAAUUGGAAAGCUAGCUGGACGAUAGGCAUGGCCAUAUUUACAUUUAGCUGUUAUUGUCUGGACGAAUGUGUGAAAAUGAAGAGAGCUCAGCUUCCUUGAGCUGUGUAGGAUCGUUCGAGGAGGAACUAUGACCGAAUUUGGUACUAACUACUGAGAAUCUUGUUGUAACUUUGUUAAUACUUCUGAUAUUACUAUCCACUAGGAUGUGCUUAAAGGAAUUUGAUACUGAAAAUCAUCACAGGGUAUAUGAUUGUAAAAUUGGUUCAUUUGGUA